CACCCACUCCCAACAUCCAACUUCACCUUUUUAACUGCAGCAACUUUAAUAUACACUAUUGAAGCUGGAAUAACCACAGCUGCUGACAUCAGACUUGCCUUCCAAUGGAUCCUUGCUGAAGGAUUUAAGGUGGAUUCAUUUCAAUUGCAGGGCUUCAAAAGAGUCCUAUAUAUAUAUAUAAAAUGUUUUUUUCCAUUAUAGCUGGUUUGCAGUGUUCUGUCAAUUUUCCACUUACACAUACUUUUUUCUCACAUAUAUGCUUUUUUCUCACAUUAUAAUGCUCCUUCAUAAGUGACCAGACAUAGUUCCCAGUGCUACACAGCAGGAUCUCAUUGCUAAUCCAUUCCAAAGGCAAUAGUCUGCAUCUAUUAGCCCCAAUUUCCCUAUCUAUUCCACUCCCUCCUUAUCCCCCUCCCCCUUGGCAAUCACAAGUCUAUUCUCCAAGCCCAUGAUUUUCUUUUCUGUGGAAAGGCUCAUUUGUGCCAUAUAUUAGAUUCCAGAUAUAAGUGAUAUCAUACGGUAUUUGUCUUUCUCUUUCAGACUUACUUCACUCAGUAUGAGAGUCUCUGGUUCCGUCCAUGUUGCUACAAAUGGCAUUAUUUCAUUCUUUUUUAUGGCUGAGUAGUAUUCCAUUGUGUAUAUAUACCACAUCUUCCUAAUCCAAUCAUCUGUCAAUGGACAUUUGGGUUGUUGCCAUGUCUAGUCAGUGAAUAGUGUUGCACUGAACAAAUGAGUGCAUGUAUAUUUUUCAUGGAAAGUUUUAUCCGGAUAUAUACCCAAGAGUGGGGUUGCUGGGUCAUACAGUUGUUCUAUAUUUAGUUUUCUGAGGUACCUCCACACUGUUCUUAUAGUGGUUGUACCAGAUUACAAUACCCACCAACAGUGCAGGAGGGUUUCCUUUUCUCCACACCCUCUUCAGCAUUUGUUAUUUGUGGACUUAUUAAUCAUGGCCAUUCUGACUGGUGUGAAGUGGUAUCUCAUGGUAGUUUUGAUUUGCAUUUCUCUUAUAAUCAGCGAUGUUGAGCAUUUUUUUCAUGUGCUUGUUGCAUCUGUAUAUCUUCCUUGGAGAAAUGUAUUCAGGUCUUUUGCCUAUUUUUCCAUUGGGUUGUUGGCUUUUUUGCUGUUGAGCUGCAUAGGUUGUUUGUAUAUUUUAGAGGUUAAGCUGUUGUCAGUUGCAUCAUUUGAAACUAUUUUCUCCCAUUCCAUUGUUUUUUUUCUUUUUGGUUUCCUUUGCUGUGCAAAAUCUUGUCAGUUUGAUUAGUUCCCAUUGGUUUAUUUUUUCUUUUAUAUCCAUUGCUUUGGGAGUCAUAAGGUUGAUGUCAGAGAAUGUUUUGCCUAUGUUCUCUUCUAGGAGUUUGAUGGUGUCUUGUCUUAUAUUUAAGUCUCAGCCAUUUUGAGUUUAUUUUGGUGCAUGGUGUGAGGGCGUGUUACAGUUUCACUGAUUUGCAUGCAGCUGUCCAGGUUUCCCAGCAAGACUUGCUGAAAAGACUAUCUUUUUCCAAUUAUAUGCUCUUGCCUCCUUUGUCAAAGGUUAAUUGACCAUAGGUGUCAGGGUUUAUUUCUGGGUUCCCUAUUCUGUUCCAUUGGUCUGUCUAUCUGUUUUGGUACCAGUACCACACUGUCUUGAUGAGUGUGGGUUUGUAAUGUUGCAUGAAGUCUGGAGAGUGAUGCCUCCUGCUCGGUUUUUGUCCUUCAGAAUUGCUUUGGCAAUUCUGGGUCUUUUGUUGUUCCAUAUAAAUUCUUGGAUUGUUUGUUCUAGUUCUGUGAAAAAUGUCAUGGGUAAUUUGAUAGGGAUUGCAUUGAAUCUGUAGAUUGCUUUGGAUAGUAUGGCCAUUUUUAUAAUAUUAAGAGUCCUGUAUUCUUAUAUUUUGUCACUGCCUCCCUCAGUCAGUAGUGGUUAAUUUGUUCCCCUGCUGCCUUCUUUGGAAGUGGUAGCCAUUUCUCAUGUUCCUUCUCUGGAAUCAAACUAUGAUCCUGCAUCUUUUGUGGUCACCAUGUGAGGCACAGUAACUGCAUUCAAAAGUUGAUAGGGCAGGAGUUCCCGUCGUGGCUCAGUGGUUAACGAAUCUGACUAGGAACCAUGAGAUUGAGGGUUCGAUUCCCGGCCUUGCACAGUGGGUUAAGGAUCCAGCAUUGCCGUGAGCUGUGGUGUAGGUCACAGACAUGGCUUGGAUCUGGCGUUGCUGUGGCUCUGGCGAAGGCCGGCAGCUACAGCUCUGAUUAGACCCCUAGCCUGGGAACCUCCAUAUGCUGUGAGUGCAGCCCUAAAAAAUACAAAAACACACAAAAAAAUUGAUAAGGCAGACUUUGAAUGGGUCACUGAUACCGCAGGGGUGUGUGUGAUCAGCCCAAGGUGGUCCUGAGUCACCAAAGCCACUGCUGCCCACAUACCUGACAUGGCCAGGGGGAGGUUGACAGCGUUGGUUUUGAUCUGAUAAAUGCAUGCAUCCCAAGGGGAUUCAGAAUCCACCAGCAUGUAUUAGCUCUAGAAUUACAAGUUAUCAUCCAAAUAGGACAGGAAUGGGUGACCAAAGGGAUUAACCAAUUUACUGAGCCAUUUGCAGUUUCACUGUCUCAGCCAUGCAUACUUGUUAGACAUACAUGCUUUAAUCUUUGAGACAAGCAAAUGCUACUGGUAGCAUCCACCAGGCAGAUGAUCAUGUUACAAGGAGCCAGACCAUGAGAGAGUGCUCAGAGCCAUGCCAGGCAUGUGGAACAAAGGGCAUUGGAAACACAGCAGUGGGGGGAGGGCCAAGGUGGGAAAGGGGGGAGGCAAACACCAGGACCUGGCCAUCCUCCCCGCCCAGGGCAAGAAUGACUGACCAUCCACAAGCAAACAAGGGUGGUGUGCCUAGGUGGCAUCCCCAGGCACAGCCCCUUGGUAGCAUGGGAGUAGGGCUGGGGCAAUGGGAACUUACGUCAAGGCUAGCCAACACAUGCUAGCAUUUGUGUGGGCAGUGGUUGAUAUAGCCAAGUUGUCUGGUCACAAAGUCUUGUGAGAGCUCACCAGAGUGGAGUAAGGCAGGAGAGGGCAGAUCCUUGUCCACAUGCAAUGUUGCCAGAGCUAGGGGUCACUGUGGAUGCAGAGGAGAGGCCCAAGCAUGCCCAUGAGGAAAGCUACACCAGGGCACAGCACUGGGGUUGACAGGUAGUGUGGAUAGAUAGAGGAGGGAGGUAAUGAGGCAGGGCGGGCACCAAAGGUUGGCACUGAAAAGCAUUGAAGGAAGGGGGUCUCCAUGUAGCUGCAAUGGGCAUAGGGCUGACCAAACAACCUGGGCAGGAGUCAGCUGCCAGGGCAUGGCACUGUGUCUCACUUCUGGAGAGCAUAUUGGAAGUCCUAUUGCCUUCUUGGUCCCCAGGGUACUCUCACAGGGCUUGCAACCCCCACCUCCAACAGCACAGAUCCACAGCCAGUCCAUGAGAACUCUCUCCCACACACCAGUGAUUCUUGGCCUCACAUACACCUCCUGUUGCUGAGUCCCCCAGUGGGCCCAAGAACACUUCAUCUGGGGACACUUCCAGCUAUGGCAGCCAGGGAUGAGGCAGACAGUGCAAGGCCAUUUCAGUCCCAGUUGCUGGUGGUGCUAACAAUCAUCUGCUUGGGCCAGAGAGGACCAGUGAUAAUGGAGAAGGGCAGCAGCAGGCAGGGGCAGGGCCAGUAAUUAGAAAAAGAAAGGCUCAGAUGUGAUUGGGCCGCCAGGAAAAUGAGCGUGUCAGCUCACCACUAAAGGCACAAGAUUGGUCCCACAACACUUGGGAUGUCAGCCGGUCUUGACCACUUUUAAGUCUCCUUUGACCCAGGUACACCACCAGGCCCAUGUGUAUAAGUCCUUCCAUGGAGGAACCACCCACCUGGUCACCCAUCCAUGCAGAUCUCUCCAUCUUCAUCUGCUCUGCCCCAGGCUCAUAGCCGGAGGAAAUAUUCCUGAGCAAGGCAGCCCAACCCAUGACUGCAUGUCAUUACAGGCUGUGACCAGGAUGGGAGUUGCUCACAGCGGGGGACAGAGGAGUCAGGACAGAGCACCCCCCUUGGCACUUGACUGAGGAACCACAGAUGCAUGCACACACACAGCCCUGUGCUGGACACUGGCCUGACAGGACCCUCCCCCCGACGUGGAGAGAUGAGGCAUGGUCCACCGUACACAAAGCUCUGUGCUUGGCUCCACUGUGUGAUCAGCAAUCCUUCACAGGAAGGUGAGGGACUCUGCUCACAGGCUGGUGCACAGGGUAGCAAGCUGGGUGGUGCAGUGCCCCAAAUGCUCCCCCUCAGAUCACUGGAGAGGGCAUUCUCACUGAGGAUACAUCAUGGUUCCCACACCCAUUGUCACCUCCCUGUCAGGCCCACAGAGGCACUUCAAGAGAUGCCAGGGCUGGGCUAGGCAUGGGGUAUUCGUGACACGAGUAAGCAAAGGGCCAACCUGAGCAUUUAGAGUGAGGGCUGGGGAAACCUUCUCUGUUUCAAGUGCUCUGUUUGCCACAUGGAGGGGCUUGCCUGAAGUCAGACUGAGCUCCCUCUUGGCAUUGCCUGGCCUACCACUAUUGUGCGCAUGCCUGUGUGCAGUCCUGGCAAAGAGGGAGCUCAUGGCAUGUGGCUGGCCAAGUUUGUUCCUCUGGCACAGUGAGGACAAACAGAAUAAGGUUCUUGCUACACAAGUGGGACAAGGUGUGCCUCCCUUACUAUCCCAACCCUGAAGAAAGCUGCUCAAAGUAAUGGGAGACCCAAGGGGCUUGCUGGGAAUAGGAAAAACACUUUGCUUGGCCUCAGGCACCUGAGGGUCAACCUGGAUCACUCCAGGAGCACCACAGAGGAGCAGGUGAGUCCUACUCACACAUCAAGGGGAGCAUAAAGCACAGUGGUGGGGUGACCCUACCCAUGGCAGGGAGGGCCACUCACAAGAUAUGAGCCAGGGAGGUGAGACGUAUGUUCCCUGCAUCAGAUGACACUGGCCCACCUAUACUCUGAAGAGGAGGGUAAGAGACAGAUCAGGCCAGAUUCCACACCCCUGCCUCCCACACACAUCAACAGAUGGGGAGGAGAAGCAAGGGGCACAGAGACAGGACAAGAGCAGCCCCAUUUGCCACGAAUGCCUGUCUUUCAUUAGGCGUGGCUUAGGCCUGGCCCUGGAGAGCAUGACAGCACCACAUCUGUCUCUGUCAGUCCAGUUGCUUGGAAUCUCCAUGUGAGAAGCCAGCGAGGACAACUGCCAGAUGUGGCUGCCGUAGCCUCACCAUCCACCUUCUCUCCAGUGAGAGGGCAUAAUAGUUCUGGGAGGAUUGUAGCUGAAUCUUGAACUGGCAUGGACCUUACAUGAUGCAGUUGUCACAUCUACUGCCAUGGGCCUGUGGGGAGCACACGGGGUGGGGGACUCACACCGCACACGGGGUGGGGGACACGGGGUGGGGGACUCAUACCUCAUGGUCCCCCUGCCCUUGGGCUGCCAGAGACCAGAGACUGCACCGCAGGUCAGGUCAGCUGGACACUCACUUGAGAGCUGGUGCAAAGGCCCAGGCAGGCAGCUUAAGAAGGAAGGGCAGAAAUGGGUGUAAGGUUGCAGUCAAGCCUGGGGCCCUGUGCACAUCCAGACAUCCGAUGUCCUUUGCUACAGGCAACAAGACCAUGUCAAUACCUACCUGGUGG
rnacentral:lncRNA from 1 species